rnacentral:rRNA from 1 species
UUAAGCGACUAAGCGUACACGGUGGAUGCCCUGGCAGUCAGAGGCGAUGAAGGACGUGCUAAUCUGCGAUAAGCGUCGGUAAGGUGAUAUGAACCGUUAUAACCGGCGAUUUCCGAAUGGGGAAACCCAGUGUGUUUCGACACACUAUCAUUAACUGAAUCCAUAGGUUAAUGAGGCGAACCGGGGGAACUGAAACAUCUAAGUACCCCGAGGAAAAGAAAUCAACCGAGAUUCCCCCAGUAGCGGCGAGCGAACGGGGAGCAGCCCAGAGCCUGAAUCAGUGUGUGUGUUAGUGGAAGCGUCUGGAAAGGCGCGCGAUACAGGGUGACAGCCCCGUACACAAAAAUGCACAUGCUGUGAGCUCGAUGAGUAGGGCGGGACACGUGGUAUCCUGUCUGAAUAUGGGGGGACCAUCCUCCAAGGCUAAAUACUCCUGACUGACCGAUAGUGAACCAGUACCGUGAGGGAAAGGCGAAAAGAACCCCGGCGAGGGGAGUGAAAAAGAACCUGAAACCGUGUACGUACAAGCAGUGGGAGCACGCUUAGGCGUGUGACUGCGUACCUUUUGUAUAAUGGGUCAGCGACUUAUAUUCUGUAGCAAGGUUAACCGAAUAGGGGAGCCGAAGGGAAACCGAGUCUUAACUGGGCGUUAAGUUGCAGGGUAUAGACCCGAAACCCGGUGAUCUAGCCAUGGGCAGGUUGAAGGUUGGGUAACACUAACUGGAGGACCGAACCGACUAAUGUUGAAAAAUUAGCGGAUGACUUGUGGCUGGGGGUGAAAGGCCAAUCAAACCGGGAGAUAGCUGGUUCUCCCCGAAAGCUAUUUAGGUAGCGCCUCGUGAAUUCAUCUCCGGGGGUAGAGCACUGUUUCGGCAAGGGGGUCAUCCCGACUUACCAACCCGAUGCAAACUGCGAAUACCGGAGAAUGUUAUCACGGGAGACACACGGCGGGUGCUAACGUCCGUCGUGAAGAGGGAAACAACCCAGACCGCCAGCUAAGGUCCCAAAGUCAUGGUUAAGUGGGAAACGAUGUGGGAAGGCCCAGACAGCCAGGAUGUUGGCUUAGAAGCAGCCAUCAUUUAAAGAAAGCGUAAUAGCUCACUGGUCGAGUCGGCCUGCGCGGAAGAUGUAACGGGGCUAAACCAUGCACCGAAGCUGCGGCAGCGACGCUGAUGCGUUGUUGGGUAGGGGAGCGUUCUGUAAGCCUGCGAAGGUGUGCUGUGAGGCAUGCUGGAGGUAUCAGAAGUGCGAAUGCUGACAUAAGUAACGAUAAAGCGGGUGAAAAGCCCGCUCGCCGGAAGACCAAGGGUUCCUGUCCAACGUUAAUCGGGGCAGGGUGAGUCGACCCCUAAGGCGAGGCCGAAAGGCGUAGUCGAUGGGAAACAGGUUAAUAUUCCUGUACUUGGUGUUACUGCGAAGGGGGGACGGAGAAGGCUAUGUUGGCCGGGCGACGGUUGUCCCGGUUUAAGCGUGUAGGCUGGUUUUCCAGGCAAAUCCGGAAAAUCAAGGCUGAGGCGUGAUGACGAGGCACUACGGUGCUGAAGCAACAAAUGCCCUGCUUCCAGGAAAAGCCUCUAAGCAUCAGGUAACAUCAAAUCGUACCCCAAACCGACACAGGUGGUCAGGUAGAGAAUACCAAGGCGCUUGAGAGAACUCGGGUGAAGGAACUAGGCAAAAUGGUGCCGUAACUUCGGGAGAAGGCACGCUGAUAUGUAGGUGAAGCGACUUGCUCGUGGAGCUGAAAUCAGUCGAAGAUACCAGCUGGCUGCAACUGUUUAUUAAAAACACAGCACUGUGCAAACACGAAAGUGGACGUAUACGGUGUGACGCCUGCCCGGUGCCGGAAGGUUAAUUGAUGGGGUUAGCGCAAGCGAAGCUCUUGAUCGAAGCCCCGGUAAACGGCGGCCGUAACUAUAACGGUCCUAAGGUAGCGAAAUUCCUUGUCGGGUAAGUUCCGACCUGCACGAAUGGCGUAAUGAUGGCCAGGCUGUCUCCACCCGAGACUCAGUGAAAUUGAACUCGCUGUGAAGAUGCAGUGUACCCGCGGCAAGACGGAAAGACCCCGUGAACCUUUACUAUAGCUUGACACUGAACAUUGAGCCUUGAUGUGUAGGAUAGGUGGGAGGCUUAGAAGUGUGGACGCCAGUCUGCAUGGAGCCGACCUUGAAAUACCACCCUUUAAUGUUUGAUGUUCUAACGUUGACCCGUAAUCCGGGUUGCGGACAGUGUCUGGUGGGUAGUUUGACUGGGGCGGUCUCCUCCUAAAGAGUAACGGAGGAGCACGAAGGUUGGCUAAUCCUGGUCGGACAUCAGGAGGUUAGUGCAAUGGCAUAAGCCAGCUUGACUGCGAGCGUGACGGCGCGAGCAGGUGCGAAAGCAGGUCAUAGUGAUCCGGUGGUUCUGAAUGGAAGGGCCAUCGCUCAACGGAUAAAAGGUACUCCGGGGAUAACAGGCUGAUACCGCCCAAGAGUUCAUAUCGACGGCGGUGUUUGGCACCUCGAUGUCGGCUCAUCACAUCCUGGGGCUGAAGUAGGUCCCAAGGGUAUGGCUGUUCGCCAUUUAAAGUGGUACGCGAGCUGGGUUUAGAACGUCGUGAGACAGUUCGGUCCCUAUCUGCCGUGGGCGCUGGAGAACUGAGGGGGGCUGCUCCUAGUACGAGAGGACCGGAGUGGACGCAUCACUGGUGUUCGGGUUGUCAUGCCAAUGGCACUGCCCGGUAGCUAAAUGCGGAAGAGAUAAGUGCUGAAAGCAUCUAAGCACGAAACUUGCCCCGAGAUGAGUUCUCCCUGACCCCUUAAGAGUCCUGAAGGAACGUUGAAGACGACGACGUUGAUAGGCCGGGUGUGUAAGCGCAGCGAUGCGUUGAGCUAACCGGUACUAAUGAACCGUGAGGCUUAACCUU